rnacentral:rRNA from 1 species
AAGCCAAUCGAACUUGGAGAUAGCUGGUUCUCCUCGAAAUAGCUUUAGGGCUAGCGUCGUGUUAGUAGCACAUGGGGGUAGAGCUCUGUAAAGGACUGGGGCGGGCAACUGUACCCACCCUUAACAAACUACGAAUACCAUGUGUGUAAUCACGGCAGUUAGAACAUCGGUGCUAAGAUCGGUGCUCAAAAGGGAAACAGCCCAGACCAUCAUCUAAGGUCCCUAAAUUAACGUUCAGUGGGAAACAAGGUGAGAUUUCUUAAACAGCUAGGAUGUUGGCUUAGAAGCAGCCAUUCAUUUAAAGAGUGCGUAACAGCUCACUAGUCAAGAGAUCUUGCGUGGAAAAUGUAACGGGGCUAAAACGUUAUACCGAAGAUAUGGAUGUCAGAUUUAUCUGGCGUGGUAGAGGAGCGUUCCUAUCAGCGGUGAAGUCGAAUCGGAAGGUUCGGUGGAGCGGUAGGAAGUGAGAAUGCUGGAAUGAGUAACCAUAAGAGAGGUGAGAAUCCUCUCGGCCGUAAGAGCAAGGUUUCCUGAGCCAUGGUAAUCAUCUCAGGGUUAGUCGGGCCUAAGCCGAGGCGCAGAGCGUAGGCGAUGGACAUCAGGUUAAUAUUCCUGAACCGGUUAAGUUUUGUACACUGUUCACGGGGAAGUAAUCGAAGCGGAUUCAUGGUUUAUCCGUCCAACCGAGCGGGAACGCAAAGGGAGUGAAAGUGAUUCUUCGGAGUCGCGAUUUUGGUGAAAGCCCUGGCUAGAAAAGCAGGUGUACGCGUGGACUUAGCCGCCCGUACCGCAAACCAACACAGGUGCUCGAGUCGAGUAGACUCAGGCUUACGAGCGAACCUUCGCUAAGGAACUCGGCAAUACAGCGACCGUAACUUCGGGAUAAGGUCUGCCCCCACUUCGGUGGAUAUCAGCCGCGUUCACUCAGUGAAUAUUAGGUUAAAGAGUACAUUUUUAAUCACAAAACGAAUUUUCUGAGAUAGAGCAAACGAAUUGUUCUUUUGAACGCGAACCUCUGACGUCUAACGAUGUGGGGGCCGCAGCAAAAGAGCCCACGGAACUGUUUAUCAAAAACACAGGUCUCUGCUAACACGAAAGUGGAUGUAUAGGGGCUGACUCCUGCCCAAUGCUGGAAGGUUAAGGGGAGCGCUUCACGGUGCGAACUGAAGCCCUAGUCAAUGGCGGCGGUAACUAUAACCGUCCUAAGGUAGCGAAAUUCCUUGUCAGGUAAGUUCUGACCCGCACGAAUGGAGUAAUCAUGUGGGCACUGUCUCAGCGAAGGACUCGGUGAAAGUGCAUUGGCGGUAAAGAUGCCGUCUGUCCGUACCAGGACGAAAAGACCCCAUGGAGCUUUACUACAGCUUUACAUUGAAUAUGGUUUCAACAUGUGUAGCAUAGGUGGGAGACUUUGAAGCAGAUACGCCAGUAUUUGUGGAGUCACCAAGUGAAAUACCACCCUUGUUGUGAUUGUGUUCUCACGCUGACCGUUAUCCGGUUAGCGGACCGUGUAUGGUGGGUAGUUUAACUGGGGCGGUUGCCUCCUAAAGAGUAGCGGAGGCGUUCAAAGGUUGGCUAACUUCGGAUGGAAAUCGAAGUGAUAGUGUAUGCGCAUAAGCCAGCUUGACUGUGAGGAGUACAUUCCAAUCAGAGACGAAAGUCGGAGCAAGUGAUCCGCUGUACGUACAUUUGUACAUGAAUGUGGGAUCGACAGCGCAAACGGAUAAAAGUUACCCUGGGGAUAACAGGCUUAUAGCGCCCAAUAGUUCACAUAGACGGCGCUGUUUGGCACCUCGAUGUCGGCUCAUCACAUCCUGGAGGGGGAGCACCUUCCAAGGGUUCGGCUGUUCGCCGAUUAAAGUGGUACGCGAGCUGGGUUCAGAACGUCGUGAGACAGUUCGGUUUAUAUCCGGUAUGGACGAUAGGAAACUUGAGAGGAUCUACCCCUAGUACGAGAGGACCGGGGCGGACGCACCUCUGGUGUAUCGAUUGUGGCCACCUGCUGCAUUGUCGAGUAGCUAUGUGCGGACUAGAUAAGCGCUGAAAGCAUAUUAAGCGCGAAACUAACCUCAAGAUAAGGUUUCCCUAUGAGGACACAGAAAGACUAUCUGUUUGAUAGGCGCAAGGUGGAAGUACAGUAAUGUAUGGAGCUAAAGCGUACUAAUAGUCCCAUUGCCUUUUUAUG